rnacentral:lncRNA from 1 species
GAGACAGAAUGUCAGUUUUGAAAUAUAGGAGUUCGAGAUUAGAAACCUAAUACUUUUGUUAUGAAUUAUGCUAAAACGGUAAAAAAAUUUUCAAAAUAUAGUUGUCUCAAAUACACUCUUCUCAGAUAACAGAAGGCCAGGCAAGGGCACUGACUUGAAGGGAAACAAACCACAGUAAUAUGACUGCCUGAAAGUAACUAUGGAAUUCAGUUUCUCAAAGUGAUUACUUCUUCUAAUCUUCAUAUUGAUGACUCACUAGUACAUUUACUUUGAUGGGUUUAAUCAACUCUGAUAACAUAGUUCCAAACACUUAAAAGGACCUGAUUUAUGUAUUAAAUAAAGGUUAAUUUGUUCUUGAGAAAUUGACAAAAGAUUUGGUCAAACGUAAAUGAAUAUGCAAUAAGUCACAUAAGUCUGUGUGUAUAUACAUAUAUGACUUUAAUUUUAUAAGUGCAUGUGUAUACGCACACCUUUAGCUCAUUUAAAUAAAAAGCUAUCCAAUGUUUUAUGUCCAUUAUGUCCCCCGUUAACAUUGAGCAAAAUGUUAACCCCUACUAUAUAUGCAAGGGAAAUAAAUUAAGUUGUUAUAUAGAAACCCUUGACACUAUAUGCAAUUUCUUAUGUCCCAUAUUCUGAUAAUAUCUGUCCUCUUGGCUCUUACUUCUUGGAAUUUCUCAUAAACACGGAAGCUUCAUGACAAAUUGUGUAAAUCAUCAUUUCCUCCUUUAUGAAGUAUAUUGAAGACAAAAGGGAUUAAAGUCAUUUCACAUUUAGCAAAGCUAUUUUAUGGCAACAUUGUUACAACACAAAAUAGACAUUGCAGUUUACAAUUAACAAUUACACAGUGAUUUCAUAACAAUACUACUUACUCCAAUUAACAAAAUAUUUCUUUAUAAAAAAUAUGUUCAAAAGGAGGUUUACAUUCACUUCUUCGUUUAAUAUCAAGGUUGUUAACAAUGGUCUUAGGAGAUGCAAAGACGAAAAACUACUUACCUUAAAAAUCUGUAUUCUUGAAGAUAUAUACUCCACUUGAAUAAGAUACUGCUCAAGGUUUAGGCUUCCUGGAGAACUCAGAGGAUUUUGUAGUUGUACUUAAUAUACUCAAUAGCCAAAUUUCCUAAACUUUCAUAAUUUUGCUAACCAAGGGCCCUUAACAAAGUUAAAAGACACCACAGGGUUCAAAAGUGAACAAAUAUGUUGUUUUUGUUUUAAGACGGAGUCUCAUUCUUGUCACCUAGGCUGGAGUGCAGUGGCGCAAUCUCUGCUCACUGCAACCUCCAUCUCCCGGGUUUAAGUGAUUCUCACACCUCAGCCUUCCGAGUAGCUGGGAUUACAGGCGCGCGCCACCAAGCCCAGCUAAUUUUUACAUUUUUAGUAGAAAUGGGGUUUCACCAUGUUGGCCACGCUGGUCUCAAACUCCUGACCUCAAGAGAUCCGCCCGCCUCGGCCUCCCAAAGUGCUGGGAUUACAGGCAUGCGCCACUGUGCCUGGUCACAAAUAUGUUAAUGAGCCAAUUAAGAUGGUGCUGCUCAAAUGAUUCUAAUUCAGGAAACUUAGGUUGCAGCUAGGUAAUCUCUAGUUCUCUAAAGAAUAAUACCCAAAUGACAGGAUUUAUGUGUUGAUGCAAUAAUAGCUCAGUCUGUUUCAUGACCUAGCUAGAGUCAGAAUUGGAGCGGUGGCUAUAGCACAGGGGUGGCUUUCUCCUCUCUGAAGGAAAAGUAAAGAAGUAAGAAGAAAGAGGUUGAAAGAACAGCCUACACAGUUGUUGCCCAGAUCUCAAAAUUAGCAACAAGUAUGUCAGCUGUCCUAAUUAUUACCAAACAGGUCCUGGGAGUGUCUGACACACAACAUAAUAUAGGUUUGACAAAGAUUCACCUAUGAGUUUGAUGAAGACAGGCUAGGUAUGGCCCUCAAUAAGAAUUUAUUCUGACUGGGAGAUUUAAAACUGUAAAUGCUUGCCGGGCGUGGUGGCUCACGCCUGUAAUCCCAGCACUCUGAGAGGCCGAGGCGGGCGGAUCAUGAGGUCGGGAGAUCGAGACCAUCCUGUAUAACACAGUGAAACCCUGUCUCUACUAAAAAGUACAAAAAAAUUAGCCGGGCGUAGUGGCGGGCGCCUGUAGUCCCAGCUACUCGGGAGACUGAGGCAGGAGAAUGGCGUGAACCCACGAAGCGGAGCUUGCAGUGAGCCGAGAUUGUGCCACUGCACUUGGGGACAGAGCGAGACUCUGUCUUAAAAAAAAAACAAAACAAAACUGUAAAUGCUUGAGUUCUACCUCCUCCAGAUUCUAAUUUUAUUUAAUUGGACAUCUGGUUAUUGUAUUUUUUAACUCCUCAGGUUAUGUAAUAAUACGCAUCCAGUGUUGAGGAACACUGACAAAAAGGUUAGAGUUCAGUGAGACACUGAGGCCUCUUCAGUACAUAAAAAUAGGGUUGGAAGUUAGCAUCUUGACACUCUUUGGGGGAUUCUAUAUCUCUUCACUUGCCAUUAAGUGAAACGUUCAGAAAUUUAAGAGUCAACAAUGCCACCAUUACUGCUGUCAAAGUCCUUCAGUGAUUAAAAAGAUACCAGAAAGAUACCCUGAUCCCUUGAUCAUCUGGUGGGGAGUAGUGUGGGAAAGUGGUUAUAACAUUGCGCAAGCAGAUGUCAGAGAAUUUCUGAAAGACAGGGCUAUCUCUAGAAACUCACUGUAAGUAAGGAGACAAUUAACACUUUUGAAGCCCAUUUAUCCCUGAUGGUCAAUUACACACUAAGAACUUCCUUUUUUUUUUUUUUUUGAGACUGAGUCUCGCUCUUUCACCAGGCCGGAGUGCAGUGGCACUAUCUCAGCUCACUGCAAGCUCCGCCUCCUGGGUUCAGGCCAUUCUCCUGCCUCAGCCUCCCGAGUAGCUGGGACUACAGGCACCCGCCACCGCGCCCAGCUAAUUUGUUGUAUUUUUAGUAGAGAUGGGGUUUCACCGUGUUAGCCAAGAUGGUCUCGAUCUCCUGAUCUCGUGAUCCACCCACCUCGGCCUCCCAAAGUGCUGGGAUUACAGGCAUGAGCCACCGCGCCCGGCCAAGAACUUCCUUUUAAGAUUUGCCCUGAAGGGCCCUAGAGCAUUUCCUCUUCCAUGCAGAGAAUCAGAAAGCUUGGAUUCUAGCUCUAGCUCCCAACAAUUAGCUGUAUGUAAUUGAUGAUGGGUGACUUCAUUAGUGUCAAAGCCAAAGCAUAUUCUCUGUCAGCUUUUCAAAAAAACACGCAGUAAAGAGAGAUUCCUACCAGGAAAACUUUGAUGGGUGUUUUUCAAGUGUCAUCUCACAGCAGAAGAUGCCCCAAGUGGUCAAACCUUGCCAACAGCUUCAAAAAAAGGUAACUAGGAUUUAACUUUACGGUGCAUUUUGAUGUUUCCCUUUGUGUCAUAUCUGAUGAUAAAAGAACCUUAAAAAAAAAAAAAAAAAACACUAUCCAGCUUCUCCAUUCUGUCUCCUGCUUUACUUUCUCUUGUUUACAAAAUACAAAUUUAUAGCUGGAUUUGAUGCUGAAAAUUUAAUACAGUUACCUCAUGUCACAGAUAAAGAACAGAAAUGACUUGACCAAGUUCAC